AUCAACAUUCUGACGUGAUAAAUUGAGACAAACCGAGAUUUUUUGUAAUGCAACUAUUACGACCAGCAGUUCGCGCGUCCCUAUUUCCUUUAUUUUUCGAGUCGCGGAAGCGCCGUCCGUACACGUGGCAAGCAACCGCUUGGCAACGAGCAACGACCUCCUCCUGUGCAAGAACGUACCGCAAAGCGUCGCGGAUGAUAGUCACGGAGAAGCGCAUUUGUCGAGCAAAAUGCUGGUAGCGGCCACGACGACGACGACGACGAGACAAAGAGAGAAGCGUAACGGAGGGAAGACAGGACCAACCGGAAACGGACAGGCAAGAAGAAGAAAAUGUCCGGUGAAAAAAAAGGCCACGUCAAGGUCCUCAGACAGAUUCGCGACGCGGCUUAAGUCAUGUCACACACCACCUGUCGCGCGACUAAGGCAAGUCAAUGCGCACACUCUUCGUCAUUUCUUGCGGAAAAAGCAACGACAGCUCUAUAGAAGUUUCUUCGCGCCUAUGCUCGUGCGGAAUUUCGAUCGAGAAUAAGCUGGAGAAAUGAAUAUUUUCGAUCUUUGAUGUCGAUAAAACACCUCGUAGUUCGAUCGUGCUCACGUCCUCCCAGGAAUCUCUCUCGAUCUCAUUGUUCGUGGGCAGCAGGCCAGAAAGCGGCGCUUCCGGUUUCAGGUUGAGUUGCACGACGAUCAGACGAACGGACAGGCCUGGCUGCAUCCUGACUCGCCAGCACCCCUGCGUGAUACUCGCGGAAAAUUGUCGUAGCAACGGGAAGCGGAUAAGUCGACGCGCGGAACCGGAAGUCGCCGUGGGAUCGCUUGUAGAAGCUUGAAAACACGGAGCGAAACCUUCAUGCUCCCUGGGAACCUCCGAUUAGCUACACGCACGUGUAUAUUUUUCGCCUGUCUCUCUUUUGCGUACGUGUGUGCGUGUCUAUAAGCAGUCAUCACGACAUACACGUACACAAACGUUCGUGUCUGAGAUAGCUCGCGACACGAACUUUAGAUGAACGUAGCAAAGAUAAAUCUUGUUCUUUUAAUAAAAAUUUCUUCAAUUGUGCGCAAAUAAAAAAUAAUACUAUUCAUCAAAUCUAUUGAAAAUCGUCUUGUAAUUCUGAACAAAUAACUUGGGAAUGAAAAUUGGUCGAAUCAUUAUAUCAUAUUUCACAUUACAUAUGGUUAAUAAGAAAUUUAUCCGUAUAUAUGUAGAUGCACACUUGAGCAUCGUAUAUACUAGUACAAGGUAGGUCGAUGACUCAUGCUAAUCAUUGUUAGGCUAUGGAAAAUGUCGGCUUCGUAACUAUUGAGAAAAGCAUGAAGCAGACACGAAGCAUGCCUACAAAUCUCUUCGUUUCUAUAGUCUUUAUUAUCGUAGCUUCAAGGGAAGAAAAUAAUGAAGUUGUCGGAGAUGUCAAACCUAACGAAGUACAUUAAUCAAUGACACAGCGGAUGCAACGUUUAGAAAAUUGGACGCUUGAACGUACAAGUUUGGCAAAGAUAGAAGGAUUAACAAUGAUACCCACACGAAUUGAUCUACAUCCAGAAAUCGUGGGCGAUGCUGACAUCAUGCUGACCAACGACUUCCUAGACUCGCUGUCCUUGAAAGAUAGAUACAGACAUUUUUACAGUUUGACAUCGUCAUGCAAACGUUUUGUUUCAAACAAGAAGAAACGUGAUGUUCAUAACAUGAGAACCAUUAUCAUCUAUGUGUACCAAUAACGCAAUUAGUAAAUGAAUCCAA
rnacentral:lncRNA from 1 species